rnacentral:rRNA from 1 species
UACAGAGGGUGCAAGCGUUGUUCAGAAUUAUUGGGCGUAAAGAGCGUGUAGGCGGCUUGGUAGGUCUUGCGUCAAAACCUGAGGCUCAACCUCAGUUCGCGUGGGAAACCACCCAGCUAGAGUCCGGAAGAGGAGAACGGAAUUCCCAGUGUAGCGGUGAAAUGCGCAGAUAUUGGGAAGAACACCAGUGGCGAAGGCGGUUCUCUGGGACGGUACUGACGCUGAGACGCGAAAGCGUGGGGAGCGAACAGG